rnacentral:rRNA from 1 species
GACGAACGCUGGCGGCGUGCUUAACACAUGCAAGUCGAACGGAAAGGCCCUGCUUUUGUGGGUUGCUCGAGUGGCGAACGGGUGAGUAACACGUGAGUAACCUGCCCUUGACUUUGGGAUAACUUCAGGAAACUGGGGCUAAUACCGGAUAGGAGCUCCUGCUGCAUGGUGGGGGUUGGAAAGUUUCGGCGGUUGGGGAUGGACUCGCGGCUUAUCAGCUUGUUGGUGGGGUAGUGGCUUACCAAGGCUUUGACGGGUAGCCGGCCUGAGAGGGUGACCGGCCACAUGGGGACUGAGAUACGGCCCAGACUCCUACGGGAGGCAGCAGUGGGGAAUAUUGCACAAUGGGCGGAAGCCUGAUGCAGAAACGCCGCGUGCGGGAUGACGGCCUUCGGGUUGUAAACCGCUUUCGCCUGUGACGAAGCGUGAGUGACGGUAAUGGGUAAAGAAGCACCGGCUAACUACGUG